AACAAAGUCUGAUAUACAUUGCAUUCCUUGCACCAUGCAUAUCUACCCAUGUCCUAUUAUAUCCAGCUCCAGUACCACAAAACAGCUGUACUAGAAAUCCUAGAGCAAUUGGGAGAAAUUUGAGUAUAAAGGUUCACUCUAUAUUCUCUUAGGUAUCUUCAGAGCACUUGAAGAAACAAAGACUCUUUGCACACUAAGCAUCUUCCUUCCUUCCUUUCCUAAUCUGGAAAGCCCCAGAGGCUAGAACACAGAGAAAAAUCAGUCUCUGGAGGAGUUGCAGUGUUUGGCUCUUGGCAGAGGCCAAGGGAAGCUGGGGUGUCCAGGGAAAAAGCAGGAUGGUACAAUCUUAAGGGGAAAGAGGACUCCAAUGGGAGGUCUUUAAAAGUGACACUACUCACCAUGA